GUACACGGAGGCAGCAUGGGGAAAGGCAUUGAAGGGCGGGACCCCGGAGCCGACUUGCUGCAGAUCCAAAAAGGCGGAGCUAGAUAAAGAGGAAGGGGUGGAGCUAGAACUGGACACCUCGGGGGUUUCCUGCUUUAUGGCGAAGGCGAAAAUGGAGAGACCCGGAAGGCGUGUGUGCGCCCGCCUCUCCCACAGGAGGGAGCGCGGAGACCCGGGAGCGGCCUAGGACCGGAGGCGCGACCCCUCGGCCCACCUUGAGGCCCGGCCUAGGACCGGAGGCGCGACCCCUGGGCCCACCUUGAGGCCCGGCCUAGGACUGGAGGCGCGACCCCUCGGCCCACCUUGCGGGAGCCGCCUAGGACCGGAGGCGCGACCCCUCGGCCCAGCUUGAGGCCCGGCCUAGGACCGGAGGCGCGACCCCUCGGCCCACCUUGCGGGAGCCGCCUAGGACCGGAGGCGCGACCCCUCGGCCCACCUUGAGGCCCGGCCUAGGACCGGAGGCGCGACCCCUGGGCCCACCUUGAGGCCCGGCCUAGGACUGGAGGCGCGACCCCUCGGCCCACCUUACGGGAGCCGCCUAGGGCCGGAGGCGCGACCCCUCGGCCCAGCUUGAGGCCCGGCCUAGGACCGGAGGCGCGACCCCUCGGCCCACCUUGAGGCCCGGCCUAGGACUGGAGGCGCGACCCCUCGGCCCACCUUGAGGCCCGGCCUAGGACCGGAGGCGCGACCCCUGGGCCCACCUUGAGGCCCGGCCUAGGACUGGAGGCGCGACCCCUCGGCCCACCUUGAGGCCCGGCCUAGGACCGGAGGCGCGACCCCUGGGCCCACCUGGCGGCCCGGCCGGCACAGCCCGCCUCUCCUCUCCAGGCCAGGGCCCCACACCUUCCGCCUGACAGCCAGCCAAGCUCUUCAGUCCCCCGCCCUCCACCUGCCAGGGAGGCUCCGGGCGUUGUACCUGCCACCACGGGGUAGGUCUGGUACAAAGCACUGGGAAUACAACCUUGAACAAGACAAGAAUCCUGGCCUUCAAGGAACUUCGAACCUUUUGGGGGAUAUGAUAAGACACAUUAGGAAUCACCAUGUUAAUGGUUAUCUUUCUUGAAGGAUAUAAGUCCAGGUGCUUGGGGAGACCCGUAAGUGGUUAGAGGGAAGCUGCAAGGAAGAGUAUCUAGGAGGUAACUAGGUGAAGAAUUUUCUUCAGGGGGAAAGAAAUCCAUGCAUAAAGUCUUGGUGCCUUCAAGAAAUUGAAAGACAUUUAGUGUGGCUGUAGGACAGGCAGGAAAGAGAAUUUGGAAAGAGCCUGCUGGCUGCAGAUGGAGAUGGCCCCUAUGGUUUGAAGUUUUAAGCUGAGUCUCUGCAAUGGAAAGACCUUUGUCUUUCCUGUGUCCGGUGUGGGGGAGUGGACUCUUCUGGGUGAGUCACCACCAAAUGCCCAGAGGUGGGUGCAGACUUCCUUCCUGCACUGGGGUUGGGGGGACGAUUGGCGCCCACUGUGCUGACCACCUCUUCAUGCAGCUGCAGGUGGGGUGGGCUUUGAGGCCGGAAGCCAAAAAUGAGUAGGAGCCUCCUGG
rnacentral:lncRNA from 1 species